rnacentral:lncRNA from 1 species
UGGAGAACUUUCUUGCAUAACGGAUUACACAAAUAAUUAAUUACUCCUAGUUAAACUGGAUUCCCAAAGUGUCGAAAGAAAUUUUCAGCAACAUAUGUUAACAUGCUAAAGUAUAUUUACAGUAGAUGUAUCAUAAUACCAUGCCAAUCUUAACUUAAAUCCAAACAAAUGAAGACAAGGUUAAAUUAUUCCCCAAAGUUAUACUACUACUGAUAUUUUCAAAUAAUUUUACAAGAAAAGGCUAGCAAAGUAACGAAAGGAACAUGUAUUGGAAAACUAUCUUAAAAUUAAACAGUUAAGUCCAAACACAUGACAGGAAAUUAUCUCAAACAUUGAUCUUAGAUUAAUCAAAUACGGAACCGUGAAAAUCACGCUACUACCAGAAACAACAUUUUUCAGACAUGACAUAUUUAAAUAUAUUGAACAUGGAUUCAAGCAUUUGGAGCCAAACUCAGAUCUGGAUUAAAACUAAAUUAGUGUGGAACUAUUCUAAAGAAAUAGAUAAUGAGGAAAUUACCAAGCCUAAACCCAUUUCAAACCAAAACUUUGAUCAUACUUAUAAUCAGACCAAACAGUAAGAUAAGGAGAAAGGACAUGGACCUGGAAUAGCUUUCCGGUAUAUUCAAAUCUUCUAAAAUUAUAGCGCGAUGAGAACUCGAACCAAAAAUCGAACGUGAACACCUCAAUCAACCUCACCUCAGUCGAACUCGAAUCCAAUUCCAGCACCUAUUAGUCAAUUAACGGAUGUGUUGGUGAUGCCAUUUUCUCGUAGCUUAAGGAGGUGGGGUGCAGGGGUGAAGGGAGAUCGAGAAGGGUGGCUGUAGUGUAAGGUUGAAGAGGAUGAGGGGUCGUUUUGGCUAAAAGGGUCACGGCUGGGAGCUUCAACACAAGGAUUUUUAGAUUGUUUCCUCUUUUAGUGUUGAAGAUGGCUGCUGAUUUUGUGCUUUAGUUUUUGAAGAAGAUGAUAUUGAGAUACGGGGUCUGGCUGAGGGUUCAGUUGAUAAACGGCGGAUUUGAUUUUUUGGGUGUCCAGGGUGUUAGUGUUAUUUAGUCUAUGUUAUUAUUUGGGUUUAAGGGUAUGGG